rnacentral:rRNA from 1 species
ACACUGACGUCGCGACGCAUAUCAAUAAGCGGAGGAAAAGAAACUAACAAGGAUUCCCCUUAGUAACGGCGAGUGAAGCGGGAAGAGCUCAAAUUUGAAAUCUUCAAGGGUUUACCUUUACGAAUUGUAGUUUAAAGAAGUGUUUUCUGCUGAGGUUUUGGUUAAAGUUCUUUGGAAUAGGACAUCAUAGAGGGUGAGAAUCCCGUAUUUGACCAUUAUUUUCAGCUUUGUGAUACACUUUCAAAGAGUCGGAUUGUUUGGGAAUGCAGUCCAAAAUGGGUGGUAAAUUUCAUCUAAAGCUAAAUAUUGGCGAGAGACCGAUAGCGAACAAGUACCGUGAGGGAAAGAUGAAAAGAACUUUGAAAAGAGAGUUAAACAGUACGUGAAAUUGUCAAAAGGGAAGCGUUUGACACCAGUGUUGUUUUCUCGAAAAUCAAUUAAAAAUGGCUCGAUUUUGUAUUGUUGAGACCUUAAAAGCUCACUGUACAUUUUUCGUGUCUUUUUUAAUGCACUUUUCGUUUAACAAGUCAACAUCAGUUUCUUUUGUUGUAAAAGGGUCAUUGGAAGGUGGCUUUCUUUUCGGAGAAAGUGUUUAUAGCCUUUGGCCUCUGCAAUCGGAGAGGACUGAGGUCUGCAGCGUAGACUCUUCGGGGUUAGAUACAUUUGUGCUAAGUUAUAGCUUUUUAUAGACAACUUGUUGACUAUAAUUAGUCUUGUAGCUUACUCGCUUAUGCUAUUUUACCUACGCUUAGGAUGUUGACGCAUGAGAUAUACGC